rnacentral:rRNA from 1 species
UACGUAGGGGGCCAGCGUUGUCCGGAGUUACUGGGCGUAAAGGGCCCGCAGGCGGUGCGGCGCAUUCCCGGUUCCAGCCGGUCGCUUAACGACCGGAGCGCCGGGACGAUGGCCGGACUUGAGCCCCAGAGAGGGACACGGAACUCCGGGUGGAGCGGUGAAAUGCGUAGAGAUCCGGAAGAACACCAAAGGCGAAGGCAGUGUCCUGGCUGGGGGCUGACGCUGAGGGGCGAGAGCUAGGGGAGCGAACGGG